GCGGCAGGCCUAACACAUGCAAGUCGAACGCCCUAGCAAUAGGGAGUGGCAGACGGGUGAGUAACGCGUGGGAACGUGCCUUUCGGUUCGGAAUAACUCAGGGAAACUUGAGCUAAUACCGGAUACGCCCUUCGGGGGAAAGAUUUAUUGCCGAAAGAUCGGCCCGCGUCCGAUUAGCUAGUCGGUGUGGUAAUGGCGCACCAAGGCGACGAUCGGUAGCUGGUCUGAGAGGAUGAUCAGCCACACUGGGACUGAGACACGGCCCAGACUCCUACGGGAGGCAGCAGUGGGGAAUAUUGGACAAUGGGCGCAAGCCUGAUCCAGCCAUGCCGCGUGAGUGAUGAAGGCCCUAGGGUUGUAAAGCUCUUUCGCCAGGGACGAUAAUGACGGUACCUGGAUAAGAAGCCCCGGCUAACUUCGUGCCA
rnacentral:rRNA from 1 species